UAAUACGUAGGAUCCGAGCGUUGUCCGGAAUUACUGGGUGUAAAGGGCGUGUAGGUGGAUCUCUAAGUCGGUGGUGAAAUCCUGCAGCUUAACUGCAGAACUGCCGUCGAUACUGGGGAUCUUGAGUGCGGCAGAGGGAGAUGGAAUUCAUGGUGUAGCGGUGAAAUGUGUAGAUAUCAUGAAGAACACCGGUAGCGAAGGCGGUCUCCUGGUCCGCAACUGACACUGAGGCGCGAAAGCGUGGGGAGCAAACAGGAUUAGAUACCCUGGUAGUCCACGCCUUAAACGAUGGGUACUAGGUGCUGGUCCCGCUCGGUACAUACGAUGUAUGUCUCGAGCGGGAUCAGUGCCAAAGCUAACGCAUUAAGUACCCCACCUGGGGAGUACGAUCGCAAGGUUG
rnacentral:rRNA from 1 species